CCAUGCCAGGAUGGGAGGUGAGGAAUCACAAAAUCCUACUCCUGAAGCAAAGGAAUGAACACUGCAUGGAAACAAAUUGGAAUUGAAGUCAAGGAAGGAAAGAAGAAGACCAUGUUCUACUUCAUGAAGGGUGAGCAAUCGGAGCAGGU